rnacentral:lncRNA from 1 species
AUCUCCGGCCGUGGCGUCUCUUUCUGGAGGUUGGCGUCUCUCUCGGAGGCAGGUAUUGGCGCUGCAAACGUGAUCCGUUGGCGAGUACAACCUCUAAUCUCCGAUCCUGCUGUGCCCGCUGGUUGAUAAUUAUUAAUAUCAAUAGCAAUAUUAAUAUUGACACCAAACAUCCAAGUGAAACUCGUACUGUAGAUCCCGAGUGUCGUCCGUUGCGAUUCCGUGGGGCCUGGAAAAAAUAACAAUUAUAUACUAGCAUCGCUCAUGUAUAUUUUCUUUACUCGUAUCAAGAUUAAGCACGGGUGUGUGAGUUACAGUGUUGGUUAAUAUGCCGGGAUAGUGCGACAUAAAUUGAAACUUGUGGACGUUUAUUUAUUAUUUAUUAUUUUUUAAAAAUUAAUAAUUAUUAAUUGAAAAUUUUUAAUUUAUCUAUUUGUUUAUUAAUUUUCGGUGCAGAAAAGUUGAGGACCGAAAUUUUAUAUAUUUAUGGUGGA